AGAACGAACGCUGGCGGCAGGCCUCAAACAUGCAAGUCUAGGGGGUGUAGCAAUACAUCACCGGCGGACGGGUGCGUAACGCGUGGGAAUAUACCUAUUGGUUCGGAACAACUGAGGGAAACUUCAGCUAAUACCGGAUGAGCCCUAACGGGGAAAGAUUUCUCGCCAAUAGAUUAGCCCGCGUCCGAUUAGCUAGUUGGUGGGGUAAAAGCCUACCAAGGCGACGAUCGGUAGCUGUUCUGAGAGGAAGAUCAGCCACACUGGGACUGAGACACGGCCCAGACUCCUACGGGAGGCAGCAGUUGGGAAUCUUGGACAAUGGGGGAAACCCUGAUCCAGCCAUGCCGCGUGAGUGAUGAAGGCCUUCGGGUUGUAAAACUCUUUCGACGGGGACGAUAAUGACGGUACCCGUAGAAGAAGCUCCGGCUAACUUCGUGCCAGCAGCCGC
rnacentral:rRNA from 1 species